GCAUUUGUGGUUCAACAAUAGAAUUCUCACUUUCCAUGUGGGAGGCCUGGGUUCAAUUGCCAGCAAAUACA
rnacentral:tRNA from 1 species